UUAUCUAGGAAUUUAAAAAUACUUAAUUAUUUAAAACAAUUAAUUAUCUGUGCACUGUUGACCCAGUUUUCGUUGUCUCUCACUGCAUCACUAUUGAAAGUCUGCCUCACUCGAAAACGUUUAUUCCUUCCUUAUUCUUCGCUCACUCCCUAAAAAAUUUUCUCCCUCACAGAGAAUAAGUUUCGUUCUCUCGGUCUCGCUCAUUCAAUCUCACUCACAAAGAAGGUUCUUCUCGCGUUCAUCCCCAUUGGCCCUCCAUUGAAACCCUAGUCUCCACCGCAAACACUUCCUCCGCAUUGACCCUUCCCUGGAACCCUGGUCUCCACCGCGCGCUCCUCCUCCGUAUUGGUCCUCCCUUGAAACUGUAGCCUCCACCGCGCCUUCCUCCUUCGCACUGGCAUUCCUCUAGAACCAUAGCCUCCAUCACGCGCGCCUCCUCCGCAUUGGCCCUCCUGUAGAACCCUAGCCUCCACCUCGUGCGCCUCCUUUCUUUGGCCCUCCCUUGGAAUCACCUCCACUUGCUGCAGCAGAGAGCGGCUCCGAUAUUGUGAUUAUGGCCUGCACCGAUGAUCGACAAUUCGUGUCCUUCGAGGAAGCGCUCAUCAGGUGCAGCGCAUUUGCUAAUGUUGGGGCCGAUUUUCUUUUCAUAGAAGCACUUGCUUCCAUUGAAGAAAUGGAGCUCUUUGUCAAGUUUCUUUCCAUGUUCCUAAACUGAAGGAGAAGAGUUGUUAGAAAAGGCCCUAGAAGAAGUGGAAGUGAAAGCUGAACCAUAGGACCGUUCGGUCAUUAGGAUUGGUCUUAUUUUGUAUAACCGAUCGGUAUUAUCGUAGUUUUGAUAACCGUUCGGUCUAGACUGUGUUUUUUAAAAUCUUCAAUUUUGUAAUAUUUUUGUAAGGCCGGUCGGUCAUAACUGUACUUCUUAUUCUCAUAACUGAACUGUAAUAUUGUUAUCUGUGAAUAUUCUAGAUAUGGUUUUAUGCUGUAUUUUUAGGAUGUUACAAGUAGCG
rnacentral:sRNA from 1 species